rnacentral:rRNA from 1 species
AGAGUUUGAUCCUGGCUCAGGACGAACGCUGGCGGCGUGCUUAACACAUGCAAGUCGAGCGGAAAGGCCCUUCGGGGUACUCGAGCGGCGAACGGGUGAGUAACACGUGAGCAACCUGCCCCUAGCUCUGGGAUAGCUCCGGGAAACCGGGAUUAAUACCAGAUACGACCACUUUAGAACAUCUGCCGUGGUGGAAAAAGGAUUCCGGCUAGGGAUGGGCUCGCGGCCUAUCAGCUUGUUGGUGGGGUAUACGGCCUACCCAGGGCCAACCAACCGGUUAACCGGGCCUGAAGAAGGGGCGAACCGGGCCACCACCUGGGGGAACUGGAGAACACGGGGCCCCAGAAACUUCCUAACGGGGGAGGGCAGCCAGUUGGGGGGAAUAUUGGCGCAAUGGGNGAAAGCCUGACGCAGCGACGCCGCGUGAGGGAUGAAG